CUAUUCAAUUUCGGCUCAGCUCCAGAAGAACUUCCCAAAAAGAAAUUCUAUCAACACCUUUAUCGAAGACCACCAAUCACCCUGCGGCUUCUUCCUCUCCCAUCUUCCACACCAGGUUCAACUCGUUGAGGUCGACACCGCAGUAGUCGUUGAACUCGAGUAUCUCAAUGUAUGCAUAAGGAGAUAGCAGAUCUUGCGCUGAUUCAUAUAGAAAGUGAAGCAGAGAGAGAAUCCGAGAUAGAAGCACAUUUUGCAGAACGGUAUGGCUUGGGAUGGCGAGGUGGGAGCUGGUUUGCAACAAAGAAGUUUAAAAAAGAGUAGAUGAAACUGCCAGGACAGAUUAAACCUAGAAGAUGGGAAUUGCUUGGGAAGAUAAAACCAAGAGAAUUGAAAUUUCAAUUCCUCAAAAGUCCCUUAAUAAGAUCAAUGUGUAAUUUUACAGAAAAGUAAUUAUCAAAGAAAGUUAACUUAUAUUUUCUGGAUUUACCACCCAAAUUGCAUGUGAAUUAUUAGUACCCUUUCCAUUAGAUC